rnacentral:rRNA from 1 species
GAUGAACGCUGGCGGCGUGCCUAAUACAUGCAAGUCGAGCGAACGGACGAGAAGCUUGCUUCUCUGAUGUUAGCGGCGGACGUGUGAGUAACACGUGGAUAACCUACCUAUAAGACUGGGAUAACUUCGGGAAACCGGAGCUAAUACCGGAUAAUAUUUUGAACCGCAUGGUUCAAAAGUGAAAGACGGUAUUGCUGUCACUUAUAGAUGGAUCCGCGCUGCAUUAGCUAGUUGGUAAGGUAACGGCUUACCAAGGCAACGAUGCAUAGCCGACCUGAGAGGGUGAUCGGCCACACUGGAACUGAGACACGGUCCAGACUCCUACGGGAGGCAGCAGUAGGGAAUCGUCCGCAAUGGGCGAAAGCCUGACGGAGCAACGCCGCGUGAGUGAUGAAGGUCUUCGGAUCGUAAAACUCUGUUAUUAGGGAAGAACAUAUGUGUAAGUAACUGUGCACAUCUUGACGGUACCUAAUCAGAAAGCCACGGCUAACUACGUG